GACGACGCUGGCGGCGUGCCUAACACAUGCAAGUCGAGCGGGGUUGUAUGGAGUAACUUGCUACACUGUGCAACCUAGCGGCGGACGGGUGAGUAACGCGUGAGCAACCAACCUUGUACAGGGGGAUAACACGUGGAAACACGUGCUAAUACCGCAUAAGACUACGGUACUGCAUGGUACAGUAGUAAAAGGAGGUAAACUCCGGUACGAGACGGGCUCGCGUCCCAUUAGCUGGUUGGUGGGGUAACGGCCCACCAAGGCGACGAUGGGUAGCCGGCCUGAGAGGGUGUCCGGCCACACUGGGACUGAGACACGGCCCAGACUCCUACGGGAGGCAGCAGUGGGGAAUAUUGCGCAAUGGGGGAACCCUGACGCAGCGACGCCGCGUGAGCGAAGAAGGCCUUCGGGUCGUAAAGCUCUGUCUUUGGGGAAGAAGAAAGUGACGGUACCCAAGGAGGAAGCCCCGGCUAACUACGUG
rnacentral:rRNA from 1 species